UUCUCAGUUGAUCUGUGCCUAAAACAGGAAGGAUGAUGCAUCUUUUCCUCACAAUUGUAAUAAAAAAGCUGUUCCCACUCCAAGGGCUGCUUCCUUGCCUCCUUACACCUGUGUGAGCACACCAGCUGCAAGACAUGAUCUAGUAAUGACCCAGUGUCUGCCUGACCCUGCUGCUGCAGCUGGCUUUUACUGAAGCUGCCUUUUCAGGGCACUGUUCUUUGUGCAGAAGUGGAGCAAAAGAAGAAAUCUGGAGGUCCCUGACAGUACCAGCACAGAGGGAACCCUGGGCUGGAGGAUUGGGUGGCUCAAGGGGCCGAGCAGAGCUUUCCACUGGACCCCAGCUCUGCUGGAAGCCAUCACUGCCUCAGCUUGGUAGAGCCACCAGGAUUUCCUGCCAAGAUUCUACCAGAGCCAGGAUUUUGCAGCUUGUGUUUUCCCUGUGGAACCAGGGAGGAGUUCCCAGGCAUAGUCUGACUCUGUGCUGGAGCAGCAUCACUGCUGGGAAGUCAGAUUCCCCUGGAACUGGGAUGGCACAAUUGUUCCAGAAAAGGCCUGGUCUAAAGUUAAGGGAGGUUCUCAGCAUGGGGAGGAGAGAGAAGGGCUGGGGACAGGAUACCUGGAGCAUUGUGCAGCUGGGAAAGACAAGGAAAGGGCAAUCCUGCACAUCCUGGCUCACACACGCUCCCAGGUUUAGAACAUCAGAUGACUCUUAGCAGAUGUGAAAUACUUCUGGAAGCCCAACAGUCAUACCCUUUGGACCACCCUGCUUGUCCAUCGUGUCUGUACCACACUGCACUGCACUGGUCUUGUCAUCCAGGAGAGCCUGACCCUGGACAACGGGAUCAACAAGCUCUGAAGAGCCUCCAGUCCUCAAUUACCUUCCAGCCCUGACAUCCCCAGUCCAGCUGCCUCAGACUGGAGCUUUGGAAGCAUGAAGCAUUGCCAGACCCCACUGGGUUACAGCCUGCCCACCCCAGAACUACAGGAUAACUCCAGCUUCCCAAAAAUCCCAGCUGAAUGCAGGUCUAGGAAAGGCAGCAGACAGAGGCAAGAAGGAUGAAAUUGUCCCCAGGAGCUGUCCCUGUCCCCUGUGGGUACUACUGCACCAGCAAACUCCAGAGGGUCCCUGAGUCCAGAGACCUCAAGUGCAGUCAGCUCUUUGUAAGGAGGGACACAGUGUGCAAUCCCUGGCCUUGGGGGAUGCCCACGUGCUCACCCCAGCCCUGACCACGGUGGGAGCACUUGGGGACUGCCCUCCACCCCGUGCCCUUCAGGACCCUCUGUUUGCAGCUCGGGCUCUGUGGCUGCAGGCGUUGGAGGACUGCGAUAUCUGCACGUAAUCUAACUAAAAGAAGGCACAUGACAAACACUACCAGUUCCCCUCACUGACAUCAACACUGAAGUGCUUCACUGAAGGAAAAUGUUGAGAAGCUGGGACUGGACAUUUAAAGACUUAAAAGCUAUUCAGUUUUCUCCCUGACUUGAUGGUUGGAGAAGUUCAGUGCCCAGUUCUGCAGUAUUGCCUUGGAGUUGCCUCCUUUUGAGUUUUGUGCCUUGUUUCUUGGGGAGCCUAUCAACAGAGUGGAUUUAACUUGGGAGACCUCAACUCUCUGCUUGAAAAUCUGCAGGAAGUAUCUCUAACUUCAUUAGAGACACCAGUAGGUGGUCCUGUUCUGCUGCUGCUGCUGCUGCCAGUGAAAAAAGGUUCCCUUCCUCAAGGCUUACAGGAUAAUAAACCAGGCAUGUACACAUCCAUGCUCAGCUCAUCUCUGAGGAGUAGGAUUUCAACCACGUGAAGUUAUUUUGUUUAUUUGGAUUUUUAAUCUGCGUUGGGUACUGCUAUUGGAACUCAGGUGUUCCAGGCUGUGUAAAGGGAUUGUUCUUCCCAAGCCCUUGGGCUGUUGCUGCAGGCGGAAGGGAGCGUUGCUCUUUUCCAAUCAUCUAAAAGCAUCUGAAAAAGCAAAGCUUUAUUUCCAAAACCAAAAGUUGGCUCUCAGGCUGUCCUGUAAUCCUGUUGUCCUGGAGCCUGGGCAUCCAGUCCUUGGAAAUGAGGUGAGAAGUGAUGUGUGGCUUUGGGUAAGAAGAAGUACCUGCCUGAAAUAACAGCACAUGACAUGGGCUAGUAAGGAAUAUUGCCUUCCAUUUUUUUUAUUAUUGGAAUCAAAAGUGCAGAGAAACAGAACAUUGACCCGAUCUGAAAUUCUAGGUGUUAAUAUUUGAUUUCUCUCUUGCUCAAAAGACAACAUGGCUGUCUGCAUUUCCGGAGUGACCUCACUUCCCUGGCUGUACCUGCUGCCACACGAUGUUUGGUUCCGCUGCUCCUGGGGAAUGUUCCAGCUGCAGACGCCUGAGCAGUGCCUGUUCAUUACUGCUCACGGGAGAACAGCAGCACCGGCCGGGAACGGCUGCCAGGGAGCAGCCAGAGACACCAAAUCCCUACCUUGAAUUUAUCCAGCUGCCAAAAACCGGCCCUGACUGGGGCAGGCCAUGGGUCACUCCCCCAUUCUGUCAUGCCAUGGGGUGACUCCACCAUCUUGUGUCAGGCUCCGGAGUCAUUCCACCAUUUUGUGUGAGGUUCUG